CAAGUCGAGCGAGAAAGGGACUUCGGUCCUUAGUAAAGCGGCGGACGGGUGAGUAAUACGUAGGUAACCUGCCCUUCAGUGGGGGACAACAAUUCGAAAGGAUUGCUAAUACCGCAUUCGUCGGCGAGCGCCUUGGUGCUUGUCGGGAAAGCCGGGCCGCAAGGUCUGGCGCUGGAGGAGGGGCCUGCGUCGCAUCAGCUAGUUGGUGGGGUAAUGGCCCACCAAGGCGAAGACGCGUAGCUGGUCUGAGAGGAUGAUCAGCCACACUGGGACUGAGACACGGCCCAGACUCCUACGGGAGGCAGCAGUGGGGAAUAUUGGACAAUGGACGCAAGUCUGAUCCACCCACGCCGCGUGAGUGAUGAAGGCCUUCGGGUCGUAAAGCUCUGUGGGGAGGGACGAACCGCCAAUGGCUCAUACCCAUCGGCAUGACGGUACCUCCUUAGCAAGCACCGGCUAACUUCGUGCCAGCAGCCGCGGUAAUACGAAGGGUGCAAACGUUGCUCGGAAUCAUUGGGCGUAAAGCGCACGUAAGCGGCUAUCUAAGUCGGAUGUGAAAUCCCUCGGCUUAACCAAGGAAGUGCAUCCAAAACUGGAUAGCUUGAGUACUGAAGAGGAUCGCGGAAUUCCCGGUGUAAAGGUGAAAUUCGUAAAUUUCGGGGAGGAACCCCAGUGGCGAAGGCGGCAAUCUGGGCAAAUACUGACCCUGAGGUGCGAAAGCGUGGGGAGCAAACGGGAUUAGAUACCCUGGUAGUCCACGCCGUAAACAAU
rnacentral:rRNA from 1 species